UUCAUGCUAGAAUUUGCCUACUGUCCCAAAGUAAUCGAGGCAGGAAUCAGUGGAUUUGGCUCUCCUGAGGACUAUGUGUGCCUCAAGUUCUGCAGAAGGUUGAGCCUGUUUUGCCCGUGAGGUUAAUGGGAGAAGAUGUGGGUCAAAUCCUGCCCUCACACACGUGGACUGCACUGUGGGCUGGAGAGUCAAGGGGCUCAGCCUGGCUAUGCAUGCAGCCCACCGGGGUCUGCCUGGGGCUCAGCCUCCUGACACCCUACUCACCUCCAAGUACUGAAGCCACGAAGAGCCCCUUUGACACUGCAGCCCCUUUCACACUCCUCAGUCAGUGCCCCACACCAAAUUCAAGGUCCUAGUUAAUUAAAUUCUCUCUGUAUCUUACUCUCCUGUUUCGUGCCUUCCUCUCUAGAACAAAUCCUGACCCUAGCAUGUCCUUGCAUGUCCUUAGGGCUACAAGAUUUUUUUUAGCUAAAAUAAAAUAGGUGAGAGUCUCAAGUACCUACUACUGAUGAGCAAAUAGCUUUUAUUCCAAAAGAAAACAUGAUGCAAAAAAGUAGCCUUCAGACAGAAGACUGUGGAGACAUAUCAGCGGAUGUUCACACUCAGCAUGGCACUUACUGCUACCCUUUCAACAAUUACCACCUCCUGGUGUAACCCAGGGCUGCUGAGCUGAUACAGAGUUGGCUCUCCCACCCUGGAGGGUGCCAGUGUACCACUGAAGGGGCAAUGUCUUUCUGAUGCGCCGUGGGAGGACAGCUGUGGCCAGCC